rnacentral:rRNA from 1 species
GAUGAACGCUGGCGGCGUGCUUAACACAUGCAAGUCGAACGGAAAGGCCGAAGCUAGCUUCGGUACUCGAGUGGCGAACGGGUGAGUAACACGUGGGUGAUCUGCCCUGUACUUCGGGAUAAGCUUGGGAAACUGGGUCUAAUACCGGAUAUGACCAUCUCUUGGAUGGGGUUGUGGAAAGCUUUUGCGGUAUGGGAUGAGCUCGCGGCCUAUCAGCUUGUUGGUGGGGUAAUGGCCUACUAAGGCGUCGACGGGUAGCCGGCCUGAGAGGGUGUACGGCCAAAUUGGGACUGAGAUACGGCCCAGACUCCUACGGUAGGCAGCAGUGGGGAAUAUUGCACAAUGGGCACAAGCCUGAUGCAGCGACGCCGCGUGGGGGAUGACGGCCUUCGGGUUGUAAACUCCUGUCGCAAUCGACGAAGCCUUUUGGUGACAGUAGGUUGAGAAGAAGCACCGGCUAACUACGUG